rnacentral:rRNA from 1 species
GAUGAACGCUGGCGGCGUGCCUAAUACAUGCAAGUCGAGCGAACGGACGAGAAGCUUGCUUCUCUGAUGUUAGCGGCGGACGGGUGAGUAACACGUGGAUAACCUACCUAUAAGACUGGGAUAACUUCGGGAAACCGGAGCUAAUACCGGAUAGUAUUUUGAACCGCAUGGUUCAAAAGUGAAAGACGGUCUUGCUGUCACUUAUAGAUGGAUCCGCGCUGCAUUAGCUAGUUGGUAAGGUAACGGCUUACCAAGGCAACGAUGCAUAGCCGACCUGAGAGGGUGAUCGGCCACACUGGAACUGAGACACGGUCCAGACUCCUACGGGAGGCAGCAGUAGGGAAUCUUCCGCAAUGGGCGAAAGCCUGACGGAGCAACGCCGCGUGAGUGAUGAAGGUCUUCGGAUCGUAAAACUCUGUUAUUAGGGAAGAACAUAUGUGUAAGUAACUGUGCACAUCUUGACGGUACCUAAUCAGAAAGCCACGGCUAACUACGUGCCAGCAGCCGCGGUAAUACGUAGGUGGCAAGCGUUAUCCGGAAUUAUUGGGCGUAAAGCGCGCGUAGGCGGUUUUUUAAGUCUGAUGUGAAAGCCCACGGCUCAACCGUGGAGGGUCAUUGGAAACUGGAAAACUUGAGUGCAGAAGAGGAAAGUGGAAUUCCAUGUGUAGCGGUGAAAUGCGCAGAGAUAUGGAGGAACACCAGUGGCGAAGGCGACUUUCUGGUCUGUAACUGACGCUGAUGUGCGAAAGCGUGGGGAUCAAACAGGAUUAGAUACCCUGGUAGUCCACGCCGUAAACGAUGAGUGCUAAGUGUUAGGGGGUUUCCGCCCCUUAGUGCUGCAGCUAACGCAUUAAGCACUCCGCCUGGGGAGUACGACCGCAAGGUUGAAACUCAAAGGAAUUGACGGGGACCCGCACAAGCGGUGGAGCAUGUGGUUUAAUUCGAAGCAACGCGAAGAACCUUACCAAAUCUUGACAUCCUUUGACAACUCUAGAGAUAGAGCCUUCCCCUUCGGGGGACAAAGUGACAGGUGGUGCAUGGUUGUCGUCAGCUCGUGUCGUGAGAUGUUGGGUUAAGUCCCGCAACGAGCGCAACCCUUAAGCUUAGUUGCCAUCAUUAAGUUGGGCACUCUAAGUUGACUGCCGGUGACAAACCGGAGGAAGGUGGGGAUGACGUCAAAUCAUCAUGCCCCUUAUGACUUGGGCUACACACGUGCUACAAUGGACAAUACAAAGGGCAGCGAAACCGCGAGGUCAAGCAAAUCCCAUAAAGUUGUUCUCAGUUCGGAUUGUAGUCUGCAACUCGACUACAUGAAGCUGGAAUCGCUAGUAAUCGUAGAUCAGCAUGCUACGGUGAAUACGUUCCCGGGUCU